ensembl:misc_RNA 7SK 7SK RNA
GGAUGUGAGGGCGAUCUGGCUACGACACCUGUCACCCCAUUGAUCGCCAGGGUUGAUUCGGCUGAUCUGGCUGGCUAGGCGGGUGUCCCCUUCCUCUCACCCCUCCACGUGCGUCCCUCCUGAAGCUGCACCCUCGGUCGAAGGGUCAAAGAGAACGACCUUCCUGGAAUAGAGGAGGACCCGUCUUCGGUCAAGGGUAUACGAGUAGCUGUGCUGCACUCCCCUACUAGAACUUCCAAACAAGCUCUCAAGAAAUCCUGUCCAGGCUCUUUGCACAUUACCCAGGCUGAUUUUUUUU